rnacentral:rRNA from 1 species
GAUGAACGCUGGCGGCGUGCCUAAUACACGCAAGUCGAGCGAACAGACGAGGAGCUUGCUCCUCUGACGUUAGCGGCGGACGGGUGAGUAACACGUGGAUAACCUACCUAUAAGACUGGGAUAACUUCGGGAAACCGGAGCUAAUACCGGAUAACAUGUUGAACCGCAUGGUUCAACAGUGAAAGACGGUCUUGCUGUCACUUAUAGAUGGAUCCGCGCCGCAUUAGCUAGUUGGUAAGGUAACGGCUUACCAAGGCAACGAUGCGUAGCCGACCUGAGAGGGUGAUCGGCCACACUGGAACUGAGACACGGUCCAGACUCCUACGGGAGGCAGCAGUAGGGAAUCUUCCGCAAUGGGCGAAAUCCUGACGGAGCAACGCCGCGUGAGUGAAGAAGGUCUUCGGAUCGUAAAACUCUGUUAUUAGGGAAGAACAAAUGUGUAAGUAACUAUGCACGUCUUGACGGUACCUAAUCAGAAAGCCACGGCUAACUACGUG